UGGCGGCCGUAGCGCGGUGGUCCCACCUGACCCCAUGCCGAACUCAGAAGUGAAACGCCGUAGCGCC
rnacentral:rRNA from 1 species